rnacentral:rRNA from 1 species
GAUGAACGCUGGCGGCGUGCCUAAUACAUGCAAGUCGAACGCUGGAGAUCUAGCUUGCUAGAUCGAAGGAGUGGCGAACGGGUGAGUAAUACAUAAGCAACCUACCCACGAAGACUGGGAUAAUCUCUGGAAAAGGGGACUAAUACCGGAUAGGUAAUCGGAAGGGAUCUUCUGGUUAUUAAAGGUUAAAAACACUGGUGGAUGGGCUUAUGGCGCAUUAGUUAGUUGGUGAGGUAACGGCCCACCAAGACGAUGAUGCGUAGCCGGCCUGAGAGGGUGAACGGCCACAUUGGGACUGAGACACGGCCCAGACUCCUACGGGAGGCAGCAGUAGGGAAUUUUCGGCAAUGGGGGCAACCCUGACCGAGCAACGCCGCGUGAGUGAAGACGGCCUUCGGGUUGUAAAGCUCUGUUGUAAGGGAAGAACGGUAGAUAGAGAAUAUCUAAGUGACGGUACCUUACCAGAAAGCCACGGCUAACUACGUG